GAUAAUGAUGAGUGGCAAAGAAGUGAAGCUGGAAUGACAGAAGGGGAUGAGGAUUCUGCAGUGGAAUCUCUGAGUGGAAAAGACGCUUCUGCUUAUUAUCAGGAGGAUCAUGCAGAGGAUUGCAAUGAACACAUUGAGGAUGAGGAUGAAGAUGAAAUUGGUGCUUCCAAAGAGAGUGCUGAUGAUGAUGUUCGGAGAGUUGCAACUGAUGAGGAGUAUGAGGGAGAUAUAGACGAUAUUUCAGAAGCAUAUGUUGGUAUUUCCAACAAUGCUUGUGGUGGUGAUGGUGGCUUUGAACUUUUCAAAGGGAUUCCCAGUAACGAGGGGGAUGACUUUGAUAUUGAAAAUGAUUCAUGUACAUCAUAUGAGUGUCAGAGAGAAAAUGUUGAGUCCAGUGGUCCUCUUCAUGUUGUAACUGAUGGAAGACACUCUGGUCAAGAGUGAUCCAGUCAGGGAGCAUACUGUUGAUGGCCAGCAAGAGGAUGCUGGGGAGAUGUGUAAUUUCCUUGCAGCUGUUAAGCUUGGACAUUACUAUCAUUUGUGAAGGAAUUAAGAGUGAUACGUCCAGAAUUUCAUAGAAGGGACUUCCUGAGAGGAGGAUGAACCGGGUGCUGGCUGAAAUAUGAUGUCGGUGUGGAGUAGAGACUGUUAUCAUGCAAUCUUUCAAAUUGAAGGACCUAGGUAGGCAUAAAAUCUCCAAGUCACUCAGGAGUCGGCUGUGCGAUAAGAAUAUUCUCAGAUUGACAGCUAAUCAGUCUACCUUCUGCUUGAAAAUUUUGAAAAAGUGGAGGCAUUGCAAAGUGUCAGGUAUUUUUAUAGAUGGUGGUCGGAUUUUCCAUGGGUGGGCCAAAGGAACUCCCAUGGAAAUUAGCCAAGCUGCAGGUUGCUAAUCUGGUUGGCAUGACCUGAAUUUUGUUUCACUUAUUUAGAUCAGUCUGCUGGAAGCAAAUAUCCUUCGAAGUUGAAAACCCCACCAUCAGGAGGCCACGGGUUGCAUCUCAAACAUGUUCACAUUUCCCAUUCACAUGUUCUUUUGCUUUCAAUGUUCUUGUUGUCUUUGUCAGUCCCAUUUAUUCUCUAUAUCAGAAAUAUGUUGCCAAUGUAACAGGUUGGCAGUCUCGAU
rnacentral:misc_RNA from 1 species